UUUAGAGUUUGAAUCCUGGCUCAGGACGAACGCUGGCGGCGUGCUUAACACAUGCAAGUCGAACGAUGAAGCCUUUCGGGGUGGAUUAGUGGCGAACGGGUGAGUAACACGUGGGCAAUCUGCCCUUCACUCUGGGACAAGCCCUGGAAACGGGGUCUAAUACCGGAUAACACUCUGUCCCGCAUGGGACGGGGUUAAAAGCUCCGGCGGUGAAGGAUGAGCCCGCGGCCUAUCAGCUUGUUGGUGGGGUAAUGGCCUACCAAGGCGACGACGGGUAGCCGGCCUGAGAGGGCGACCGGCCACACUGGGACUGAGACACGGCCCAGACUCCUACGGGAGGCAGCAGUGGGGAAUAUUGCACAAUGGGCGAAAGCCUGAUGCAGCGACGCCGCGUGAGGGAUGACGGCCUUCGGGUUGUAAACCUCUUUCAGCAGGGAAGAAGCGAAAUGAC
rnacentral:rRNA from 1 species